GAGUCUUCGGACUGCGGAAGAGUGGCGAACGGGUGAGGAACACGUAAGAAUCUGCCCCUCGGUCGGGGACAACUCUUGGAAACGAGAGCUAAUACCCGAUACGCUGUGGAGUGAAAGAAUUUCGCCGAGGGAUGAUCUUGCGUCUGAUUAGCUAGUUGGUGUGGUAACUGCACACCAAGGCGACGAUCAGUAGCUGGUCUGAGAGGAUGGACAGCCACAUUGGAACUGAGACACGGUCCAAACUCCUACGGGAGGCAGCAGUGGGGAAUUUUCCGCAAUGGACGAAAGUCUGACGGAGCGACGCUGCGUGAAGGAUGACGGCCCGCGGGUUGUAAACUUCUUUUCUCGAAGAAGAAACAAAUGACGGUAUUCGAGGAAUAAGCAUCGGCUAACUCCGUGCCAGCAGCCGCGGUAAGACGGAGGAUGCAAGUGUUAUUCGGAAUGAUUGGGCGUAAAGAGUCUGUAGGCUGUAUAGAAAGUCUUUUGUUAAAUUCCUCGGCUCAACCGAGAUCAAGCAAAGGAAACUUCUAUACUUGAGGGAA
rnacentral:rRNA from 1 species